rnacentral:lncRNA from 1 species
UUUUUUUUGAGUUCUCUUAUUUUUCUUGAGGAUUAUUUCUUUCUUUAUUGUAUAUCGUUGGUGAGAGGAAGUUUUUCCUUACUAUGUAUCUAUUUUGGGGUCGUCCGUUUAUAUAUAUAUUGUAUUCGUAUCUUGGAGUUUGUCUUUGGAGGUUUGCAUAGUCAGAAUUGAUUUAGGACCAUAUUCAAGUAAGUUAUUUCUUUCUCAUCUCUUUAUUUGUAUUAUGAUUUUGUUCUUUUUAGGAUUUCUUAGAUUUAUCUUGUUUUAUAUCUAUUAUAUUUGUGAUCAUUUUGGUAUUUGAAUAUUUUAUCCAUUUCUUUUAUUCAGUUCUCUACCUAUUUAGGUUAUAUGUUCAUUAUACUCUACAUUUUGUAUGUAUGGACAUUUGCCUAAGUUUUUCUGCUCAUUUAUGUAUUUGUCAUUUUUAUUGAUUAUUUUGUUGAUAUUUUUUGGCAUGUGCUAUUAUAAGUAUUGUAUUUUGUUUCAAGUUCUCUAUAUUAGUAUAAUUUUUGUCCUAAAUUUUUUAUAAUUUUGUUUAUGUUAACCAGUGUUCAUAUUCCUUACACUCGUGAGCUCUACCAAAGAGGGGCAUAUUUGUAGACCCCCAUUUGGGGCUCACUUUCUUCAGCUAAUUUUUGAAAGGUUCACAAUAUCAAGGAACCAUGUGUCAGCUUGUAAUUGGCCUUUAGUGAAUCAAAUAGUGUUUUGAAUAAGCCAAUGAAAGGUUGACACCUAGGGGAAUAUUAAAAAAAAGUGAGAGUCUGAAGGAGCGUUUCUAUUGGGGAGUUGGGG